AGCCCGUGAGUCGUUGUGCGGAGGACACACGUGCACAUCUCAGUACCCGCCUUGUGACACCGUGCCUAGGGACGUAUUCCGCAAAUUUCCGAAAAGAAUGUGUGGUGGUUUCUCGACUCUGUAAAAGUUCUGUGUUAAUUCAAAAACUGGAAGAUCUGGUCAAUAGAAGUUUCAUUUCCACGAACCAACCUUUCUUUAAGUCGGAUUUGAGUGUGGUUUUUUUCCUCCAAAUCAGCUGGCAGAAAUAAAGCAAAUACCAGGCUGCCCUAAGCCAAAGAGAAUAAAGAAACAAUCAAGCGAUUCAGGCAGGAUUAUAACCGGAAGUGACACAAUAUUUCCAGUCAUCAAGUCAUUUGAAGUAUAAACCCGGGGAUUCUCACAAUUUCUGGAUUACUUGCACAUGUGAACGCAUUCUUCUGUGCCUACUUCGUGGUGAAGGAGACUUGCCAGGGAAAGGUCUUCGUUUAUUCUAACAGGACAGUGCAAUCAUUCCAAAAAGAGAGUAACUGAGGAAUUCGUAACAUAACAUAACAUUACAGAAGGCGACGACAACUAGGCAAAGCGGGAAGAAGAGAGAGAGAGAGAGAGAGAGAGAGAGAGAGAGAGAGAGAGAGA